rnacentral:rRNA from 1 species
CCUACGGGUGGCAGCAGUGGGGAAUAUUGCACAAUGGGGGGAACCCUGAUGCAGCGACGCCGCGUGGGUGAAGGAGUAUUUCGGUAUGUAAAGCCCUAUCAGCAGGGAAGAAAAAUGACGGUACCUGACCAAGAAGCACCGGCUAAAUAAGUGCCAGCAGCCGCGGUAAUACGUAGGGGGCAAGCGUUAUCCGGAUUUACUGGGUGUAAAGGGAGCGGAGGCGGGGCGUUAAGCCUGGUGUGAAAGUCCGAGGCCCAACCGCGGGACUGCAUUGGGUACUGGCGCGCUUGAGUGCCGGAGGGGUAGGCGGAAUUCCUGGUGUAGCGGUGAAAUGCUUAGAUAUUAGGAGGAACACCAGUGGCGAAGGCGGCCUACUGGACGGUGACUGACGCUGAGGCUCGAAAGCGUGGGUAGCAAACAGGAUUAGAUACCCGGGUAGUC